rnacentral:rRNA from 1 species
CCUACGGGCGGCUGCAGUAGGGAAUAUUGCUCAAUGGGGGAAACCCUGAAGCAGCAACGCCGCGUGGAGGAUGAAGGUUUUCGGAUUGUAAACUCCUUUUGUUAGAGAAGAUAAUGACGGUAUCUAACGAAUAAGCACCGGCGAACUCAGUGCCAGCAGCCGCGGUAAUACGGAGGGUGCAAGCGUUACUCGGAAUCACUGGGCGUAAAGAGCGCGUAGGCGGGAUAGCAAGUCAGAGGUUAAAGCCUAUGGCUUAACCAUAGAACUGCAUUUGAAACUGUUAUUCUAGAGUAUGGGAGAGGUAGGUGGAAUUCUUGGUGUAGGGGUAAAAUGCGUAGAGAUCAGGAGGAAUACUCAUUGCGAAGGCGACCUGCUAGAACAUAACUGACGCUGAUGCGCGAAAGCGUGGGGAGCAAACAGGAUUAGAUACCCCAGUAGUC